AUUAGCUGAAGAAACGUUCUGUCUUGUGCCUCGCUGUCCUGGUCAGCUCCCAGGAUAGGCCGCGCAGCAGGUACUACUUCUGCUUGUCCUCAUGGGAAGGGCAGGGUUAUUCGCAGACUGGUUAAGGCCUGCCAGGCAAGGACUCUACCUCAAGCUGCUUCAAGGGCCUGUGGUGGUUCGUAUUGACUGCCAACUUGACAGAAUUGAAGACAUCUUGGACAACAUCUAGACAUUUUUGUGAAGGAUUUCCUAGGUAAGUUUAGGUGAGAACACGUACCCUCAUGUGGGCUGGGGUCCUGGAUUGCAUAAGAAGGAGACAGCAAGCUAAGCAAAGGCAUCCAUUGCUCUCCUUCCUGACUGUGGACGUGAUGAGGCCCAGAAGUCUCCUACUGCCUGACCAUCCUCGCUAGGUAGAUGGUCUCCCCAGGAACUGUGGCCAAAGUUAACCCUCCCGCCCUUACGCUGCAUCUGGUAGGUGUUUUGCCACAGCAAGGAGACAAGCAGCUACUCAAGAACAUAGUACUCAGCGGACUCCAGGCACAGGGACUGUUGGGUCAUGAUCCCAGUAAUUCACAUUGGUGCUUUGUCACCGAGUCCUUGUGUGAGCAUCCGUGGGUCCAGGGAUCCCUUCUGAGCCCUUCCUCUCUAAAGCUAAAACACACUUCACACUGGCAUGAAACCUCAUGACUGUGGCUGGCUCACACGGUUCUAGGCCCGCGGUGAGGCAGAGUGUCGCUUUUGUUAGUUCUGUUCUCCACGGAACACAUGGGGCAUCUCCUUUUCUGGACUGUUUCUCCUGGGAUACUGACCCAAGAAAGAACAGUAACAAGCAAGCGUUUACUCCUCUCUGCUGUGUAAUUAGCCCUAAAUUAAGCCACUCAGUGAGCUGGGAUGCUGUUCUGUUGUUUAGGCUGGCUUCGAACUCCUGGACUCAAACAAUCCUCUUGCCUCAGGCUCCUACGUAGCUGGGUUGUACACCACGGUGCCUUUUAGGAGUGGCCUGUGUUACAUACAGUUUCUGUGUGUGACUGAUUCCGGAACCCAGUUUGGCAGCUCUGGUUCAGAGACUCUUAGGAGCUGCAGGUAUCUGACUUGACCUGAGGCUGAGCGUGGUACUUUCAAAGGACUGGCUGGUGGGUGGGGCUGGUGGGCGGGGCUGGCUCUUAGUGCAAAGGCCCAGCUCCUAAAGCAGUGCUUCAGUGACUCAGGUUUAAGAUUUCCAUCAAAAGAGCAUGAUUGUGGGCCAGGUGCAGGGCAAGGGCAACAGAAGAGGAGGACGCAAGCACGGGAAACGGGAGGUGGGAGGAGGCACUGGGGGAAUUGGGCUCGUGAUCCCAAGAGGCAAGUGGCUUGGUGGGGACCCACAAAGGGCACUCAGCAUGAAGGGAUGGAGUAGAACCACUGUCACACCCAGUGAAUUCCACAAGGGGGACAGAACUCUAACCCCAGGAGAAUCUCAACCGUGUUCAAUUGGAGAUAGAUCAAACAUGAUUGCCACCAUCCUGACCUGAUCUCUAAAACAGACAGCACCAGGAACGCAUAGAGUGGUGGGUUCUGGAAUGAAGGGACAGGAGCCUCUCCUCUCCCCUCCUCUCUUCUUUUUCUCCCUCCCUCCUCCUCCCCAUAUUUACAAUACUGGGGAGUGAACACCCAGACUCCUACGUGCUUAAGCACUUCAGCACACAGUUACAGCCCCAGCCCAGUAAUUUCUUCCCAGAGCAGGGUCACUGCAUCUAAAGCCUGAGAUAGAGCAGACAUUUGAAGGUGGCUCUUGGCCCUCCUGAAGAACAGCUCAUUCUAAAAGUGAGCGGCACCAUUCCUGGACAUGAGUUCUGGACUGCAUUUAAAGGAGAACGCUAGUAGAUCGUAGGUGUUCAUCAUUCUCGUCUCCUGUUUUAAGGGAUGGCUUUGGCUCACAGUUCCAGGUUAGACCCUCCCUCAUAGCAGGGAGGUGUGUGUACAGGAUCCUGAGGGAACUAAUCAUGUCACAUCUGUCACCAGGCAGGGGACACAAAGGGGCACACACAUGCUCAGCUCUCUUUCUCAUUUGUAACUAAAGCUUUAUUCUACACAACUUGAAACACAGACUCUGACCCCUUUGCCAUUGCAGACUGUCCAUUGUUCUGGAAACUUAUUACUGAUUUUCUCUUUUUCUACUUAUACAGCCCAGGUCCCACCCAAAAUUAACUCAGAGCUUCCCACACUAAUUAGUACAAUCACAAGAACUUCCUAGAAUGCUUAGAGGCCCAGCUCCCCAGUGGUUCCAGAUUCUGUCAGGUUAACAAUUAACACUAAGUUACCUAGCCAACUAGUAACCUUUCCUCUCUUGGGACAAAGGGCAACCAACCAGGCCAGGCCAGCUGAGGGUUACCUGCAGAAAAAGGGGCAGGAAGAAGGCUCAUGGUAAAACUUUCUCCAGUGUUGUAUCCACGAGGCAAGCAUCGCUCUCCUGAGAUGCCCCCAGCCCUCGUUCUAACAACUCCACCUCAUGUAAAAACAUUGAUCUGAGCCAGGUAUGGUGGCACAUGCCUCUAGUUCCCUGAGUUGAGACCAGCCUGGCCUACAGAGUAAGUUUCAGGAUAGCCAGGGUUACUCAGAUAAACUCUGUCUUGAACCCCUGCCUCUCCCCCAAAACAUAUAUCUGCAUGUACAGGAAAUGUGACAAUCUCCCCUUCAGGGAGAUAAGUGAUAGGUGACCUUUGACCCCUUCUUUCUAUUUUUUGCCCAAAUUCCUUUGUGUAGAGAAUGUUCUACUCAUAUUCAGAAGGAAGGUUUUUCUUUUCUUUCUAUUAUUCUUAAAAAGCUGUCAUAUAUCCUUUUUAUCUUUUUCUUCAAGAUCUAGCAAAGAAUGAGGAGGAUUGCGCCACUGAGCCAAUCCUCACACAGAACUCUUUUAUUCUUUAAUCUUAGAACCUUUUUUUUUUUUUUUGAGACAGCCCAGGCUGUCCUUGAACUCCUGAUCCUCCUGCCUCUACCUCCUUAGUGGUAGGAUUACAGACACAAGGCACCAUGUCUAGUUUUUAGAGCUUUAAAAAAAGUAUCCUCCCUCCACAUGACAGGCAAUAUGGAUAAAGGAACAGUCCUUUGUGUGUUCAUAAGUUUUACCCAUAAUGUACUGCUGUGCAGCUUCCUUUGGGGUGAAGCUCCAGGCUCUGAGGGUGAAACUUCAUGGGGAAUGUGUGCCUAGCAUAUCUGAAGCCAUGGGUACAACCCCUAGCACCAAAAAAUAAACAAGAUCUAAACCAGGUGGUGGUGGUGGUGCAUGCCUUUAAUCCCAGCACUCCGGAGGCAGAGACAGGCGAGCUCUGAGUUUGAGGCCAGCCUGGUCACAGAGUGAGUUCUAGAACAGCAAAGGCUACACAGAGAAACCCUGUCUUAG
rnacentral:lncRNA from 1 species